rnacentral:rRNA from 1 species
UACGUAGGCAGCAAGCGUUGUUCGGAGUUACUGGGCGUAAAGGGUGCGUAGGCGGCUUUUUAAGUUUGGUGUGAAAUCUCCCGGCUCAACUGGGAGGGUGCGCCGAAUACUGAGAGGCUAGAGUGUGGGAGAGGAAAGUGGAAUUCCUGGUGUAGCGGUGAAAUGCGUAGAUAUCAGGAGGAACGCCGGUGGUGUAAACGGCUUUCUGGACCAUAACUGACGCUGAUGCACGAAAGCGUGGGUAGCAAACAGG